rnacentral:rRNA from 1 species
UACGAAGGGGGCUAGCGUUGCUCGGAUUGACUGGGCGUAAAGGGCGCGUAGGCGGUUUGUACAGUCAGACGUGAAAUUCCUGGGCUCAACCUGGGGGCUGCGUUUGAUACGUGCGGACUUGAGUGCGGAAGAGGGUCGUGGAAUUCCUAGUGUAGAGGUGAAAUUCGUAGAUAUUAGGAAGAACACCAGUGGCGAAGGCGGCUCACUGGCCCGGUACUGACGCUGAGGCGCGAAAGCGUGGGGAGCAAACAGG